CUGAGCCGAAGUCGGCACUUAACCAACGGAGCCACCCAGGCGCCCCAGUGCACGCACAGAAUUAACCUGCCCCAGAGCAUGGGUCACGAUUCAGCCCUGGGACGAUGAGGACACGAGCUAAAUGCCACCAAAGUGGAGCCAAAGCCCCAUCGCAGCCCGCCCAACCCGAGCACUCAGCACGCAGUCCGUGAGCAGGCUGGACACCCACCGGAGGGAGCGCAGUCCUAGGCCAGGGUCCCUUGGAACCCACCCUCUUUCCCCAAACCUGCGGGCUUUCGGGGAGGCCUAGCUGAGCCCCACAGCUAGCCAGCCGGCAAGGACACGAGGCAGACCUGCCUAUUUGUUUAUGAGAAGGCCUUCCGUCUCUGGAUAUUCCAGAAAGACGGCGCUGAGCUCACUUGUCUCGCUGAGAAGACAGAAAGGCCCGGAGACCAGGAAGCAUCCUCGAGAAACUCUCUCUCCGAGGAAUUUCAAGGAGCCGGCUGGGUCUCUGUGGAGUACGCGGCAUUAUCUCAUUACCAUCUCGCCUGGUGAUCGGAUUCCGUUAGCUGACUCUCUUUAUUAGCAGGCAAAGGCAAACUUAUGAAAUACCUUUAAACCUGGAUUUCCUUAACAAUAUAUCAUGGGGGAACUGACAGCCCUCGUUCGCUUCCCUCUGCCAGAGAGAAUUAAGAUUGUUCCCAAUUUAAUCUCUUUUCCGCAUCGGAGGCGGGCAUUUGUGUUUCAGCCGAAAACUCGAGGUAGCGGCUCUGGGGGAGGAGGCUUUGGAUGGUCACAGAGGAGCUUUGAUAGGUGUCCCGUGUGCCGUGAUGCAGACGGGACGGGGCUGGCCUUGGCUUCGGGGAGCCUGGGCAAGAAGUCUCCCGUUCUGCCCUUGGUAGGAGCGGUGGACACGCGUCCCUGCUGGGAAGAGAUAAGAGAACAGAUCUGUGAGUUACCAGCUCUGUAGUGUCAGGGACAGGUGUUGGGGUGAUGCCUAGGCUGUCACAGAUACUGCUCGCUGUAAUGCCAGCUAAUUCCGCGGCCUUCUGGCUUUCUAGAAGUCAGAGUCACCAGGAUGGCUCUUAGUAGGGUUCUGGCUGAGUCGUGCCCUGGCUGUGUACCCACGGGUACGGUGCAAGUGAUGCUGCUGUCCCGCUCAGAUCCCCGUGGCUGGCCCGGUGCACUCACCCCCCAGCGGAGCAUUGGCUGCUAAAACUCGCAGCGGUCCCCCUUCUCUAGAGAAUGAGUCUUAGACGGAAUGGGAGCCACCUGACCCCAGAGGGUAGGUAGUAACACCCUGUCCUAGUCACCUCGCCUUAAGCCAUGAAACAAUGACCGACUGACCCAGGGGCACAAAAGACCAGCCCCCUUGCCUUCAGGUAAGUCUGACCUUGAAGUAAAAUCCAUGCUCCUGGGGUCCCCGGCUGAAGUUGAUCCCAGCCCAGGCCUCGUUCCCUCACCUGCCUCUCCCGAGCGCGCUUUCCCUGGGCUCAGCCUGUAGUAAACGGUUGCAUUUGGGCUGCUUGGGUUUUCUGGGCUCUGCUGGGCCUCUCCUGGAGUCAGACUGCGCGUGGCAGGGAGUUGCCAUGGACGGUCAAGGCUGGCGGGACCACGCAGUGAAGCCGUGAGCAGUCACGGAGGCCCCCCCCCUCCCGGGGCACGUCCUGAGUACCCUCCCCCGGUAACAAGCAGGCAUGGCUGGGAGUGCCUGGACCCAUAGCCCGCCUGGCAGGGGCUGCCUGGGACGCUGUCCUCCCCCUCGCUGUGUUAGUGGAGCACAUAAGCCGCCCUCCGAGGCAGCUCUGAACCAUGGCCUCUUAGAUCUGCACGGCCUCCGCCAGAGCCGUGGAGCCUGACCAGGGCGCGCCCGGCCAAGCACAUCACAUCCCUACAGGCGCUCUGCAUGGAGACGUGGAAGGCUGCAGAGGAGAGGGGAGAAGAACUGUGUUGGAAAAUCCUAUUAUCUACCCAGGCCCCCAUUGAUAGCCCAUGCAUGAAACCAAUUUACAAAGUGUGAGUCAAAGCUUCGCGGACCGCCUGUUCUCACGGGAGCCCAGCAAUCACCCUGCCCACGGCCUCCGCACACAGAAUGCCGGGCCGCCCUCCGUCCACGCUGGCUCGCUCUAGAGUUGUCAGUCAGCGCCCUGGGCUGACCACCCUCCCUCACCACCC